UAACGACGUGUAGGAACCGUACGCCGUUCCCUACGAGGGGACGGAACAAGUUGGUAACGGAACUAGCUAAUAACCGCAUGACACAUGACCGUGGCAUCACGGACAUGUCAAAGAUUUAUCGCUGGAAGAUGGCCUCGCGUCUGAUUAGCUAGUAGGCGGGGUAACGGCCCACCUAGGCGACGAUCAGUAGCCGGACUGAGAGGUUGACCGGCCACAUUGGGACUGAGAUACGGCCCAGACUCCUACGGAAGGCAGCAG
rnacentral:rRNA from 1 species